UACAGAGGUCUCAAGCGUUGUUCGGAUUCAUUGGGCGUAAAGGGUGCGUAGGUGGCGCUGUAAGUCGGGUGUGAAAUUUCGGAGCUUAACUCCGAAACUGCAUUCGAUACUGCCGUGCUUGAGGACUGGAGAGGAGACUGGAAUUUACGGUGUAGCGGUGAAAUGCGUAGAUAUCGUAAGGAAGACCAGUGGCGAAGGCGGGUCUCUGGACAGUUCCUGACGCUGAGGCACGAAGGCUAGGGGAGCAAACGGG
rnacentral:rRNA from 1 species